rnacentral:rRNA from 1 species
GAUGAACGCUGGCGGCGUGCUUAACACAUGCAAGUCGAACGGUGAACGAGGGAGCUUGCUCCCUCCGGAUCAGUGGCGAACGGGUGAGUAACACGUGAGCAAUCUGCCCCGAACUCUGGGAUAAGCGCUGGAAACGGCGUCUAAUACCGGAUACGACGCGCGAAGGCAUCUUCUGCGCGUGGAAAGAAUUUCGGUUCGGGAUGAGCUCGCGGCCUAUCAGCUAGUUGGUGAGGUAACGGCUCACCAAGGCGACGACGGGUAGCCGGCCCGAGAGGGUGACCGGCCACACUGGGACUGAGACACGGCCCAGACUCCUACGGGAGGCAGCAGUGGGGAAUAUUGCACAAUGGGCGCAAGCCUGAUGCAGCAACGCCGCGUGAGGGACGACGGCCUUCGGGUUGUAAACCUCUUUUAGUAGGGAAGAAGCGAAAGUGACGGUACCUGCAGAAAAAGCACCGGCUAACUACGUGCCAGCCGCCGCCGUAAGAC